GUGCUCAUUUGGCAGCACACAUACUAAAAUUGGAACGAUACAGAGAAGAUUAGCAUGGCAACUGUGCAAGGAUGACAUGCAAAUUCAUGAACUAUUCCAUAUUUUU
rnacentral:snRNA from 1 species